rnacentral:rRNA from 1 species
AACGAACGCUGGCGGCGCGCCUAAUACAUGCAAGUCGAGCGAGAAGGUGUAGCAAUACACUUGUAAAGCGGCGAACGGGUGAGGAAUACAUGGGUAAUCUACCAUCGAGUGGGGAAUAACCAGCCGAAAGGUUGGCUAAUACCGCGUACGCUUCCGAGUCUUCGGGCUUGGAAGGAAAGCCGCACUGUGAGUGCGGCGCUCUUUGAUGAGCUCAUGUCCUAUCAGCUUGUUGGUAGGGUAACGGCCUACCAAGGCUUUGACGGGUAGCUGGUCUGAGAGGACGAUCAGCCACACUGGCACUGCGACACGGGCCAGACUCCUACGGGAGGCAGCAGUAAGGAAUAUUGCGCAAUGGGCGAAAGCCUGACGCAGCGACGCCGCGUGGGGGAUGAAGGUCUUCGGAUUGUAAACCCUUUCGGGAGGGAAGAUGGAGCGAGCAAUCGUUCGGACGGUACCUCCAGAAGCAGCCACGGCCAACUUCGUGCCAGCAGCCG